rnacentral:rRNA from 1 species
UGCUCCUAGUACGAGAGGACCGGAGUGGACGCAUCACUGGUGUUCGGGUUGUCAUGCCAAUGGCACUGCCCGGUAGCUAAAUGCGGAAGAGAUAAGUGCUGAAAGCAUCUAAGCACGAAACUUGCCCCGAGAUGAGUUCUCCCUGACUCCUUGAGAGUCCUGAAGGAACGUUGAAGACGACGACGUUGAUAGGCCGGGUGUGUAAGCGCAGCGAUGCGUUGAGCUAACCGGUACUAAUGAACCGUGAGGCUUAACCUUACAACGCCGAAGGUGUUU